rnacentral:ncRNA from 2 species
CAAGAAGUAGUUUAAUUAGAAUAUCAGCUU